AUACAUAGGGGGCAAGCGUUAUCCGGAAUUACUGGGCGUAAAGCGCACGCAGGCGGUUUGUUAAGUCGGAUGUGAAAUCCCCGGGCUCAACCUGGGAACGGCAUUUGAUACUGGCAAGCUUGAGUCUCGUAGAGGGGGGUAGAAUUCCAGGUGUAGCGGUGAAAUGCGUAGAGAUCUGGAGGAAUCACGGUGGCGAAGGCGGCCCCCUGGACGAAACCUGACGCUCAGGUGCAAAAGCGUGGGGAGCAAACGGGUUUAGAUACCCGGUUGGUCCACGCCGUAAACGAUGUCGACUUGGAGGUUGUGCCCUUGAGGCAUGGCUUCCGGAGCUAACGCGUUAAGUCGACCGCCUGGGGAGUACGGCCGCAAGGUUAAAACUCAAAGGAAUUGACGGGG
rnacentral:rRNA from 1 species